UUAGUUGGCGGUGUAACGGACCACCAAGACGACGAUGCGUAGGGGUUCUGAGAGGAAGGUCCCCCACACUGGUACUGAGACACGGACCAGACUCCUACGGGAGGCAGCAGUGAGGAAUAUUGGUCAAUGGGCGGGAGCCUGAACCAGCCAAGUCGCGUGAGGGAUGACGGCCCUAUGGGUUGUAAACCUCUUUUGCCGGGGAGCAAAGUGCCGCACGUGUGCGGUUUGGAGAGUACCCGGAGAAAAAGCAUCGGCUAACUCCGUGCCAGCAGCCGCGGUAAUACGGAGGAUGCGAGCGUUAUCCGGAUUUAUUGGGUUUAAAGGGUGCGUAGGCGGACGCUUAAGUCAGCGGUAAAAUUGCGGGGCUCAACCUCGUCGAGCCGUUGAAACUGGGUGCCUUGAGUGGGCGAGGAGUACGCGGAAUGCGUGGUGUAGCGGUGAAAUGCAUAGAUAUCACGCAGAACUCCGAUUGCGAAGGCAGCGUACCGGCGCCCAACUGACGCUGAAGCACGAAGGCGUGGGUAUCGAACAGGAUUAGAUACCCUGGUAGUCCACGCAGUAAACGAUGAAUGCUAGUUGUCCGGGGCGAUUGAGUUCUGG
rnacentral:rRNA from 1 species